rnacentral:rRNA from 1 species
UAAUUGAAGAGUUUGAUCAUGGCUCAGAUUGAACGCUGGCGGCAGGCCUAACACAUGCAAGUCGAGCGGUAACAGGGGAAGCUUGCUUCUCGCUGACGAGCGGCGGACGGGUGAGUAAUGUAUGGGGAUCUGCCCGAUAGAGGGGGAUAACUACUGGAAACGGUAGCUAAUACCGCAUAAUCUCUCAGGAGCAAAGCAGGGGAACUUCGGUCCUUGCGCUAUCGGAUGAACCCAUAUGGGAUUAGCUAGUAGGUGAGGUAAUGGCUCACCUA